CCUACGGGUGGCAGCAGUGGGGCAUAUUGCGCAAUGGGCGAAAGCCUGACGCAGCGACGCCGCGUGAGGGAUGAAGGUCUUCGGAUCGUAAACCUCUUUCAGCAGGGAAGAACGGUCACUGUGCUAAUCAGCAGUGAAUUGACGGUACCUGCAAAGGAAGCCCCGGCUAACUCCGUGCCAGCAGCCGCGGUAAUACGGAGGGUGCGUGCGUUAAUCGGAGUUACUGGGCGUAAAGCGCUCGUAGGCGGUAUGUCAAGUCAAGGGGGAAAUCCCCGCGCUCAACGUGGGAACUGCCUUUGAAACUGGCAAACUGGAGUGUGUGAGAGGAUAGUGGAAUUCCAGGUGUAGGAGUGAAAUCCGUAGAUAUCUGGAGGAACAUCAGUGGCGAAGGCGACUAUCUGGCACAUAACUGACGCUGAGGAGCGAAAGCGUGGGUAGCAAACAGGAUUAGAUACCCCUGGUAGUC
rnacentral:rRNA from 1 species